AUUGAACGCUGGCGGCAGGCCUAACACAUGCAAGUCGAACGAGUGGCGGACGGGUGAGUAAUGUCUGGGAAACUGCCUGAUGGAGGGGGAUAACUACUGGAAACGGUAGCUAAUACCGCAUACCAUCAGAUGUGCCCAGAUGGGAUUAGCUAGUUGGUGGGGUAACGGCUCACCAAGGCGAAGAUCCCUAGCUGGGCUGAGAGGAUGACCAGCCACACUGGAAAUGAGACACGGUCCAGACGCCUACGGGAGGCAGCAGUGGGGAAUAUGGCACAAUGGGCGAAAGCCUGAUGCAGCCAUGCCGCGUGUGGGAAGAAGGCCUUCGGGUUGUAAAGUACUUUCAGCGGGGAGGCGUUACCCGCAGAAGAAGCACCGGCUAACUCCGUGCCAGCAGCCGCGGUAAUUC
rnacentral:rRNA from 1 species